AGGGCACCACCAGGAGUGGAGCCUGCGGCUUAAUUUGACUCAACACGGGAAAACUCACCCGGCCCGGACACUGUAAGGAUUGACAGACUGAGAGCUCUUUCUUAAUUCAGUGGGUGGUGGUGCGUGGCCGUUCUUAGUUGGUGGAGCGAUUUGUCUGGUUAAUUCCGAUAACGAACGAGACUCUGGCCUAUUAAAUAGACGAGGUAUCUAAAUGUAUCUCGCGCUUCUUAGAGGGACAAGCGGCGUCUAGUCGCAUGAAAAAGAGCAAUAACAGGUCUGUGAUGCCCUUAGAUGUCCGGGGCUGCACGCGCGCUACAAUGAAAAUAGCAGCGCGUGUCGAAAACCUUUUCUGGAAAGAAUUGGUAAACGCGAAAUAUUUUCGUGAUAGGGAUAGGGGAUUGAAAUUAUUGCCCUUGAACGAGGAAUUCCCAGUAAAUUCGAGUCAUCAGCUCGAGUUGAUUACGUCCCUGCCCUUUGUACACACCGCCCGUCGCUACUACCGAUUGGAAGAUUGAGUGA
rnacentral:rRNA from 1 species